rnacentral:lncRNA from 1 species
AAUCAUACUAACCCUAGAGAGAACCUCCAUCCUCCGGAUACCAUCUAUGUCUCUUCACUGGAGGAGCCGCCACCGGCGAACACCAUAUAUGCCAACGACCACCAAAUUCACACCACAGAUUCCCCAAGAAUCCCUCUUUCUAACCAUGCCAUUAGUUUCCCUCGAAUCUCACCAGAGCUCGUCGAAUAUCCGUUGGAACAUUUCCGGCCACGACAUCACUACGUCCAUUUGAUACCAGAUUAGCAACAUAGCUUCCUCUCCCCAUCCUCUAACAAUUCCCCUUAACCCCAUGUCCCGAACGUGGCCGGAACUGUUCGAAUGACAUUUAUAAACUUUCCGGCCAAAACCUAAAUAAUCCAAUCCUUGCCAAAUUAGUUUCAUAAGGUUCUUGGGCUUCCCUCAUGAGGAAUUCAGUGUCAAAAAGUUUGAAUGUCACCGGAGAUGGCCGGAGUGGAAUCUUCAGUUAGCCGGUUUUUCUUUUGUUUAAGUCGUUUCAAUAUCAGUGAGUUUCCUUUCUUGGUGUAUUUCUCUUAUUUUGCUGUGUUAAUUCCCAGUUUAGUGUGCGUUAAUUGUUGUUAAUUCUCUUCUGACUUUGUGCUUAGCUAUUUAUUUGUCUAGGUUUAGUUAGUCUAUAUAAGUUGGAUAAUCAAUCGUCUUUCUAUUUGACUUUCACUAUAGUUUUGUCCUAAUUAAUUCAGAGUCAAUAUUUUGGGUGAAUUAUUGGUUUUAGUUCAUUAUGAGGUUUUAAUUAGUUAGUAUUCAAGGAUGGUUAGUUUGUUCGGGUAGUACUUCUGAGGUGAUAAUUAGCAGAUUUUGUUAAUCUAGGUUAGCAAUAUUCAGAAAUAAAAAAGUAAAUUCCAGGUUAGUUUAGAAUAUAAUAGAGGAAACUAGAAUUCACUAGGAUGUUCUAGAAGGGGUUCAAAGUGAAAGUCAGUAAAAAUGGGUGUUAGCUUGCAUAAUAAGUUAAAAAACUAAGGGACUAGAGUUGAAAUGAAAUGAGGGACACCUAAAGGGAAAACUAAAAUUUGAGGCUCAUUUUUUGUUGCCUAUAAAAGGGCAUCAAAAUGCCUUGAGGAGGGGUCUUCUUUUUCAGCCAUCAAAUUCCCUUCGAAGAUCUGAUCCAGCUGGCAAACUUCAAAUUUAGAGUCUGUUUAGUUCUCUAUAGAAAAUCCAAAAAAAACAUAGGAAAUCGCAUAAAAAAACCACAAACAAGUUACUGUUCCAUUGAUAUCUCAAGUUUAAUCUCAGGUUUUCCUAUUUCGAAUUUGGUGUUUGAGGUCUCAUAGGUAUACAAAUUGAUUUUGGGUAGGUUUGAGUCCAAUUGAACUAGGUUGUGAUCGAGAUUGCAUUUCUGCUGGAAGUGUGAGUGUAUUCUAAGUAAUGUUCGAGAUUUUUGGUCUGUUUUGGAACUGGUUCGGUUUGACCUCUCAUUUGGCGAAUUUUAAUUCUUUUCUUGUGGUUGUUGCUGAUUAUUUCGGUUGAAUCUCGUUAGUUUUUUUUUUUUUGCAAUUGUGAAGAAUAGGUUCAAAGGGAUUCGUAAAUGUUAUUAAAAAUGAGAAUUAAACUCAAUUUGGUAAUAUGAUGUAAUUAAGACAAGAGGUGUUGCUCUGAUGGUAAGCAACCUCCACUUCCAGCCGAGAGGUUGUGAGUUCGAGUCUCCCCAAGAGCAAGGUGGGAAGUUCUUGGANNNNNNNNNNNNNNNNNNNNNNNNNNNNNNNNNNNNNNNNNNNNNNNNNNNNNNNNNNNNNNNNNNNNNNNNNNNNNNNNNNNNNNNNNNNNNNNNNNNNNNNNNNNNNNNNNNNNNNNNNNNNNNNNNNNNNNNNNNNNNNNNNNNNNNNNNNNNNNNNNNNNNNNNNNNNNNNNNNNNNNNNNNNNNNNNNNNNNNNNNNNNNNNNNNNNNNNNNNNNNNNNNNNNNNNNNNNNNNNNNNNNNNNNNNNNNNNNNNNNNNNNNNNNNNNNNNNNNNNNNNNNNNNNNNNNNNNNNNNNNNNNNAGGUGGGAAGUUUUUGGAGGGAAGGAUGCUGGGGGUCUAUUUGGAAACAGCCUCUCUACCCAAGGGUAGGAGUAAGGUCUGCGUACACACUACUCUCCUCAGACCCCACUAAGUAGGAUUAUAUUGGGUUGUUGUUGUUGUUGUUGAUGUAAUUGGUAGUUAAAGUUCAAAAAUAAAAAAGGGUGCAAUCGAUUCCUGGGUCCCGUGAAAUAGCAAUUCAGUAGUACCAGCUUAAUUCUUACAAUUUGUUGUAUUUUCCAUUCAACUUCAUACAUUAUAUUUUUGGUGAUUGCCCGUGAUUUGUAAAUAAGUGGGCCAAUUGAUAGCCCAAUUAAGAUAUUGCUUAAGACUCAACUUGAUUCCCAAAGUUGCAAGGCGUAGUUUGGGCCUGCCAGACCCAGUUGAGCUUUGUUUUGAUGAUGUUACAAGGUUCCCUUUUUAAAGAGUAAAGUAGCUUCAAAAUAACAAUAAUUAAUUAAGAUUUAAAUUUAUUUUAGAGAAAAAUAGAAAAUCGUAGUCACUUUUAGGCUGGCCUUUAUAUAAAAUGAUGAGACGAGCCUCGCAAAAUAAAAUACAAAAUACAGGGCCUCAAUAAAUGUUAUAUGAAAAUACUUAGAAUUCGUGAAGUCCAUUUAGCGAAUUUCACGACAUUCCCCAAAAUAAUAUUACGUUAGACUGUUUAAGCACGAUUUUAAUAAAAUUACCUUCUUAAACUCGGGUGCGCAUUGAUGCGACCCAAAUUCAAAUCUCAACGGAGCCAAAAUGUGUUAACAACCACGGGUGCAUUGAUUGCGACGUGGUUCGAGAUGCAUAUUUGCAUCGUUUAAAUUCUUUUAAAAAUAAUGAUAAAAGCGGUUUACAAAUAAAAGGCACAUAAGCUAAAAUAUAUUUUGAAAUAAGAUAAAAUCAAAUACAACAGUUGAGCGAAUGUGCUAGAAGCAUGGAACCCAGAAAUGCCUAACACCUUCUCCCAGGUUAACAGAAUUCCUUUCUCGAAUUUUUGGUUUACUGACUGUUAACAAACUCAUAUCAUUCCUCGAUUCAGGAUUAAACGGUGAUUAGGGACACCAUUAAUCUCCCAAGUGACGACUCUGAAUAAUUAAUAAUUGAAUCCCAUUCUGAUUGCCCUUUAAGUGGAAAAACUCCUUUACGCCUUUGCAGGUGUAGUGAAAAAGGAGGUGUGAUAGCUCUGACGACCCUGCUGGGAAUAAGAACCCAGAACAUUUUAUUCAGGGUUCAGGAUUUGAGCUUAGAAUAAUUGUUGUAUUUGACUAUAUCUGGUUGUCCCACAUGUUUCAUGCUAUUUGUGCUAAAUAUUUAACGCUUUGAUAUUAUCUGGACUGUAUAUAAACUGUGCCGAAACCCUUCUCUUCUCACAUUGGGGGAUGUGCUUACUGGUUGAGACUCCCUAUUCUGUUGGUGUCAUACCCAGAAAUAAGAAAGAGACUCAGAUAAGUUACAAAGUCGGACGAUCUCGCGGGUCCCCGGUACGUAGCCCCCUCCUCGACUCGAGUUGUCCCUCAGGAACACUGUUUAGAAAACAUACCUAGGUCUUUGAAUAUGGAAUAAUGGACUUCAUGCCGGAUCACAAGUAGGAGUGCUUAUUUGCAUCAUGCUGCAUUUGAUUUAGGGUACUCAAUAUAGGGGUUGGGUCCCUCUAGGACUACCAAGUCGAAAAUGAAAAAAAUCAUCCUGAUGCAUCCUACUUAUUCUAUGCAUUUAUUUGUUCGGACCUGCAUGCUGAACGGCCUCUGAAUAUCUGAAUUUUGGGAAAAUUGAGGAAAAACAGAGAAAUAGCAGAAAAAACCAAUGCUCAAAUACUGUCGAAACUCUGCUGAAAUUUUGAGAAAAUGAAAAAGAAAAUGUUUUAUUUUAAAUAGUUUGUUUUACUCAAAAAGCACAAAAAAAGGAAAACAAUCUUAUUUUUGGUUUUUCUUGUUUUCAAAAUAGUUUAUUUGCCACCGAAAAAAGAAAAAUAGGUUGUUUUCUUGUUUGUUGAAAAAAAAAAAAAAGAAAAAGAGUCUUUUAAUUUUAGUUUGGAAAAAUAGGUUGUUUUAUUGUUUGUUGAAAAAGAAAAGAAAAGGAUAUUUUAUUUUUAGUUUUGAAAAAUAGGUUGUUUUAUUGUUUGUUGAAAAGGAAAAAGAAAAAAAGUCUUGUUUCUGAAAGUAGUUUUUUUUCGCUUAUGAAAUGCCAAACAUGAAAAUGAAAAAGAGUCCUGUUUUAAAAUGGUUCGGUUAAUUUGUCUGAACUAUGGUAGGUUUGAAUUUCACCGGAUAUGAGAUAUGUAGGCAAGCCUCAUCGGGUCCAAUCUCCCCUUUGCAAAAAUAGCCAAACAAUGUCAAAUUUAAUUUUCGUCAAAAAAUAGCCGAAUGAUUCCGAAAGGGACGCCGGAAGGCUUCUUUUGCAAGAACAUCCACCUUUGGUCAUUUGUUAAAGAUUUUGGCCGGUUAGCCAACGUAACCUUAAAAUCAUCGUCUCCGUGGCCCUGAAAGGCCGUGUUUGCAAAACUGGUUCUUUUAUUUUAAUUUUCGAGAAAGAAAGAGUCAAUGGUCAAGUGAAUACUGUUUGGAUUUUUUGUCAAAUUAAGCCGAGCCAGCUUCGGCAGUGUCUUUAACCGUGCUUGCUGAGAUGGCCUUAGAGUAUCUUUCAGUUGUUGAAAGGCUAUUUUCGGAAAAAAACGAACAAGUUUGGGAAAUGGCAUAAAAUAAUCCUUCCCGACCUCAAAAUUCAUGUGAAAUUGGGAAUGUGCCACGUUUGCAAAAACAGCCAUUUGGUUAAAAUUGCAAAUAGGGAAAGGAAUUUGUCCAUUGGUUUUGGUUUGUAAUUCUUUUGAUUAGAGUAGGUGGGUCAUUUGAUAUUCAAGUGUUUUAUUUUUCUUUCCAAAAAAAAAUGUCUAGUUUUGUAAUAGAAUGUUUCGUUAGUGAAAAUUGAAGAAUUCCCAAAAAUGGUUUCUUUAUUUUUUGCAUUUAUUUUCACGAACAAAGCUUGGUCUAAUUCAUGCGAGGUCAUGAUACGUAGGCAAUCUCCAUAGGAUUCCACCAUAACCAAAAAAAAGAGAAAGAAAAGAAGAGAGCGGAAAAACAAGGAAAAAAAGAAUGGAAAAGGUGAGAAAAGAAAAGAGCGGAAACACAAGAAAGGGAUAGAAUAAGAAAAUUGAAAAGAGAAAAGAAAGAAAGAAAGAAAAAAGAAAAGAAAGGACGAAAGAAAAGAGAAAAGAAACAAAAGAAAGAACGCUGUCAUGAGAAACGAUCGGGAUGAUGCGUGCGAUCAAGCUAAUACAUAAUAGAAAUGGUUAAUUGUAUAGGUGCAUUCACACCAACGUUCGGUUAUCCAAUCUGUUAAAGACUAAUCCCUAAAAAAGUUGUUAUCUAAAUGUGUGAGUCCAGACAAGUGGUUAGUUGAUCAGGCAUUUUGUCAACCCAUCCAUACAACACCCGGUCGAAAGAUAAAGUGAACAUGCCAGGACAUGAAUCAGAGACAAACAUUGUGGACAUAUCGAAAGAGGUUGAGGGGACAGAGGUUCACGCAAUGAAAGAGGAGAUGCGUAAACUGAAACAACAAAUGGAUGAAAUGUAUCAGGCCUGGUCUCAGGGGCAUCCGGUGGUAGUGUAUCCCGCCAACCCAUCUUAUAUCCCACCUCUGGUUCAGUCUCAGGAGCCUCCCACCCCAAACUCAUCUCCAGCCUUCCAUUACUACACACAAGGCUAUGGCACCACUUCCUAUGCUCCUCCAACUCCACCACACAAACAAAACCCUCAUCCACCAAUUGUUCUUGUCUUUGUGGCACCUUUACCGGCCACACUGCAAAGAUCAUCCAGUGAGCCAUUGUUCCAAGCUCAAGAUAAUCAAUUAUAUCCUCCUGAACAUAUAUUCAAAACUCCUGGGCCAUAUAUUCAAAGCUCCUGAGCCAUAUACCUAUGCACCCCGUUUUGAGAUCCCGGAAGAAAUCGAGAAGCCGUCUAAGAGUUCGGAGCAGGAAGAAGUGCUACACAAAGUAAAAAGCCUGGAGCAGUCUUUCAGGAAUAUGCAUGGAUUGGGCUGCCAAGUCAGUGUGGCCUAUAAAGAUUUGUGCUCUUUCCCCUUGUUCAGUUGCGUGUGGGGUUCAAAAUGCCAAAUUUUGAUUUGUAUGAGGGACAUGGUAAUCCAGUGACACACCUUCGAGGUUUUUGCAGUAAAAUGAGAGGGGCCGGUGGGAAGGAUGAGCUGUUGAUUGCAUAUUUUGGCCAGAGUCUGAGCGGGUCUGCACUAGAAUGGUACACGGGGCAGGAUCCUGGUAGGUGGUACACCUGGGAUGACUUGGUGCAGGCAUUCAUUGGUCAUUUCCUAUAUAAUCUUGAGAUCGUCCCCAACCGUCUAUCAUUUUUGAAACUCGAGAAAGAGACUAGAGAGAGCUUUAUGGAGUUUGUUUUCCGUUGGAGGGAACAUGCAGUGAGAGUGGAUCCGCUAAUGAGAGAAAGUAAAAUGGUGGACUACUUUUUACAGGCUUUGUAGACAACUUACUUUGGUCACCUAGUAACGGCAAUUGGCAAAUCUUUUAAUGAAGUGGUGAAGAUUGGAGCUAUGAUUGAGAAAGGAUUGAAAUCCAAUAAAAUCAUGAACUAUUCAACGAUCAAAGCAACCACCCAGGCCAUCCCAAGCGGCACUGAGGGUGUGCUGGGAAAGAAGAAGAAAGAAGAGGUUGCAACAGUCAAAGCAGGAGCUUGGCCCGGAUCUAGAGGCCUUUCACCAUACUACCAACCCAGACCUCACAACCCAAAUUACCCAUAAACUCCAUAUGGCCCUCCACAAUACUACUAUCCACCGCCAGACCCACAUUUUUUCGUUCACCAAGCUCAAACUUAUACCCAGCCUCCGACUCAUGCGCAAUGGCGUGCACCGGCUCCCCAAAGUACAUACCCACUUCCACAAAACACAUAUACACUUCCUUGAGUUCUAUGGUAAUGAAACAAGUUCAAAAAUGGUUGCAAGUUUAGUAAUCAAUCCCACUUGGCCUUGUAGUUACGGAAUAGAUUUGAGAUGUUCGUUUCAGUAGUUGAAUCUCGUUAGUUUUUUUUUUUUUUUGCAAUUGUGAAGAAUAGGUUCAAAGGGAUUGGUAAAUGUUAUUAAAAAUGAGAAUUAAACUCAAUUUGGUAAUGCGAUGUGGUUGGUAGUUAAAGUUCAAAAAUAAAAAAGAGUGCAAUUGAUUCCUAAAGUUCAAAAAUGAAAAAGAGUGCAAUUGAUUUCUGG